GAUGAACGCUGGCGGCGUGCCUAAUACAUGCAAGUCGAGCGAACGGACGAGAAGCUUGCUUCUCUGAUGUUAGCGGCGGACGGGUGAGUAACACGUGGAUAACCUACCUAUAAGACUGGGAUAACUUCGGGAAACCGGAGCUAAUACCGGAUAAUAUUUUGAACCGCAUGGUUCAAAAGUGAAAGACGGUCUUGCUGUCACUUAUAGAUGGAUCCGCGCUGCAUUAGCUAGCUGGUAAGGUAACGGCUUACCAAGGCAACGAUGCAUAGCCGACCUGAGAGGGUGAUCGGCCACACUGGAACUGAGACACGGUCCAGACUCCUACGGGAGGCAGCAGUAGGGAAUCUUCCGCAAUGGGCGAAAGCCUGACGGAGCAACGCCGCGUGAGUGAUGAAGGUCUUCGGAUCGUAAAACUCUGUUAUUAGGGAAGAUCAUAUGUGUAAGUAACUGUGCACAUCUUGACAGUACCUAAUCAGAAAGCCACGGCUAACUACGUG
rnacentral:rRNA from 1 species